rnacentral:rRNA from 1 species
ACUCAAAUGAAUUGACGGGGGCUCACACAAGCGGUGGAGCAUGUGGUUCAAUUCGAAGCAACGCGCAGAACCUUACCUGGGCUUGACAUGCUAGGAUUACCUCUAUGAAAGUAGAGUAGGCCCGCAAGGGUACAACUAGUACAGGUGCUGCAUGGCUGUCGUCAGCUCGUGUCGUGAGAUGUCGGGUUAAGUCCCUUAACGAGCGAAACCUUUGCCCUUAGUUACUAACGGAUAAUGCCGAGGACUCUAAGGGGACUGCCGGUGUCAAACCGGAGGAAGGUGGAGAUGACGUCAAGUCCUCAUGGCCUUUAUGCCCAGGGCCACACACGUGCUACAAUGGCGUUCACAAAGCGAACCUAAAACGCAAGUUCAUGGAAAUCGCAGAAAUAACGCCCCAGUUCAGAUUGAGGGCUGCAACUCGCCCUCAUGAAGUUGGAAUCGCUAGUAAUCGCGGAUCAGCUACGCCGCGGUGAAUGUGUUCCUGAGCCUUGCACACACCGCCCGU